rnacentral:rRNA from 1 species
GAUGAACGCUGGCGGCGUGCCUAAUACAUGCAAGUCGAACGGCACCUGCCCUCGGGCAGAAGCGAGUGGCGAACGGCUGAGUAACACGUGGAGAACCUGCCCCCUCCCCCGGGAUAGCCGCCCGAAAGGACGGGUAAUACCGGAUACCCCGGGGCGCCGCAUGGCGCCCCGGCUAAAGCCCCGACGGGAGGGGAUGGCUCCGCGGCCCAUCAGGUAGACGGCGGGGUGACGGCCCACCGUGCCGACAACGGGUAGCCGGGUUGAGAGACCGACCGGCCAGAUUGGGACUGAGACACGGCCCAG